GCCGGGGUGGCGGAACUGGCGAUACGCGCCCGACUCAAAAUCGGGUGCCCGCGAGGGCGUGCGGGUUCGAAUCCCGCCCCCGGUACCA
rnacentral:tRNA from 1 species